rnacentral:misc_RNA from 1 species
AACGAGGCCGACCUGCGGCUGAGUUACCUGCGGAAGGAUCAUUACCGAGUUUACAACUCCCAAACCCCUGUGAACAUACCACUUGUUGCCUCGGCGGAUCAGCCCGCUCCCGGUAAAACGGGACGGCCCGCCAGAGGACCCCUAAACUCUGUUUCUAUAUGUAACUUCUGAGUAAAACCAUAAAUAAAUCAAAACUUUUAACAAUGGAUCU